rnacentral:rRNA from 4 species
UGCCUUUAAGACGAGGAUAACAACCGGAAGGUUACUAAGACUGGAUAGGAAACAAAAAGGCAUCUUUUUGUUUUUAAAAGACCUUCUUACGAAGGUAUGCUUAAAGAGGGGCUUGCGCCACAUUAGUUAGUUGGUAGAGUAAAAGCCUACCAAGACGAUGAUGUGUAGCUGGACUGAGAGGUUGAACAGCCACAUUGGGACUGAGACACGGCCCAAACUCCUACGGGAGGCAGCAGUAGGGAAUUUUCGGCAAUGGAGGAAACUCUGACCGAGCAACGCCGCGUGAACGAUGAAGUAUUUCGGUAUGUAAAGUUCUUUUAUUGAAGAAGAAAAAGUAGUGGAAAAACUAUAUUGACGUUAUUCAAUGAAUAAGCCCCGGCUAACUAUGUGCCAGCAGCCGCGGUAAGACAUAGGGGGCGAGCGUUAUCCGGAAUUAUUGGGCGUAAAGGGUGCGUAGGCUGUUAGAUAAGUCUAUAAUUUAAUUUCAGUGCUUAACGCUGUCUUGUUAUAGAAACUGUCUUGACUAGAGUGAGAUAGAGGCAAGCGGAAUUCCAUGUGUAGCGGUAAAAUGUGUAAAUAUAUGGAGGAACACCAGAAGCGUAGGCGGCUUGCUGGGUCUUUACUGACGCUGAGGCACGAAAGCGUGGGUAGCAAACAGGAUUAGAUACCCUGGUAGUCCACGCCGUAAACGAUGAGUACUAAGUGUCGGGGUAAAACUCGGUACUGAAGUUAACACAUUAAGUACUCCGCCUGAGUAGUACGUACGCAAGUAUGAAACUUAAAGGAAUUGACGGGACUCCGCACAAGCGGUGGAUCAUGUUGUUUAAUUCGAAGAUACACGAAAAAUCUUACCAGGUCUUGACAUACUCUGCAAAGCUAUAGAAAUAUAGUGGAGGUUAUCAGGGAUACAGGUGGUGCAUGGUUGUCGUCAGUUCGUGUCGUGAGAUGUUAGGUUAAGUCCUAAAACGAACGCAACCCUUGUCGUUAAUUGCCAGCACAUAAUGGUGGGGACUUUAACGAGACUGCCAAUUAAACAUUGGAGGAAGGUGAGGAUUACGUCAAAUCAUCAUGCCCCUUAUGAUCUGGGCUACAAACGUGAUACAAUGGCUGUGACAAAGAGUAGCUGAAACGCGAGUUUUUAGCCAAUCUCAAAAAAGCAGUCUCAGUUCGGAUUGAAGUCUGUAACUCGACUUCAUGAAGUUGGAAUCGCUAGUAAUCGCGAAUCAGCAUGUCGCGGUGAAUACGUUCUCGGGGUUUGUACACACCGCCCGUCAAACCACGAAAGUUAGCAAUGCCCGAAAGCAGUAGCUUAACUUCGCAAGAAGAGGGAACUGUCUAAGGUAGGGUUGAUGAUUGGGGUUAAGUCGUAACAAGGUAUCC